GUUGUUUCCGGAGAGAGUGAGGUUGCGGAGGGAGGUGAGACCGGUUAGUGUGCUGAAUUUGAGUUCUCCUGAUAAACCGAGCCGGUCGAGAUUAAUGGCGAUGAUUGAACCGUUUUCGGGUCGCAGGAGAUACCGGGCCAGUUCUCGGGGCAAGUGGAGGGGUCGGUGAGGCUGCUCGUAGCGGAGCAUGAGAUAUGCGUUGGUUGGAGGCCUCGUCGCGGAUGCGUUUGCGGAACUCGAGUAGAUAUCGGAGCUCAUGCUCCGUCACAGUGUUGACGCCAUGAGGAGGAGGAUGAAGCAGAGAGGAAGAGUGUGGAGAGGACAACAAGGUAACUUCGCUUCGUUCAUUUGUCAUAUAUCUAAUUAUUAUUUUUUUUUGCAUGGAAACCUAAUUAUCUUUCUGUUUGUGUAUUUCCACCCAAAUAGCUACUCUAUUAUUGUGUGUCUACAGUGCAAAGGGUCAUGAGAAUUAUUAUUUUGUCUCAUGCCCACUUGGUUCUCUCCAUCUAGGAGGGACCCAACAUUGAUAACGGUUCUCUCCGCAAAUGAAGGCUCCACCAUGGAUCUUAAGCUCGCCCAUGUGAUCUCAAAGUUUGUGUGUUUUAAGAACUUACGGAUCGAUGAGUGUGACAACAACAUCGAACUGACGCAACUUCGCGGCGAGGGAGCCGCCGAUCACCUCCACCCUUCGUUGGACUGCUCUCACAACAGCACGCUGAUGUUAAAAGAUUCACUUUUGAAUCUACAUGGCUUUGCUGCUUUCUGGCUGUAUUCACAUUUUCAUGUAGAAGCCUCACGUCGCAGUCACAUGUACAGUGAACGAGACUGUCUGGCUUCAUUUUCUUGACCAAAGUUUCCAGAUUGUGGAGUAGGUUUCCUAAGAUUGAGGGCGAGUUACUCUGCUCAGUGCAUUCUGAAGAGGGCACCUUCACUGCCUGUAAAGGUGCUCUGCUUGCUUCUCUUUGAAAUCCCUGCAACAGCAAGUCAAAGCACAGCAGGCGGUAACGUCUUGUUCCGAGUGUAGCAUUGAACUUCUGCUCUAUUACUUUAAUUUCAGAACAAAUAGCUUUAUCUCCAAUUAUCAGAGGGUAUGAAAUUUGAUUAGGCCAGAUUCAUUUUCAACCUACAAAAGCACUUUUGCUGUCACCACCGAAAGUUCAAACUUUGUGUCAUUAAUUCUUUCAUCUGGUUAAACUUCACCCGAAGCUGUACGAGAGACAAAGUUGUCUGCGUUGAUGCUACUAUGGGUAGAUGGAUCCUUGAGUGGGGAUAUGCCGAUCUUCAAAAUUCAAUGAAGCCUCGUGUUCCUCUCUCUCUGGUCGAAUCAUUAAAACAGAUCAACAAUCUCGAGCUGCAUAAGAGAUUAAUUAACUAAGACGGUUCAGCUAUCAAAUCCAGUUCUAAAAUUCAUGAUCAAAUCUCAAAGAAAGAAAAAAAACCGAUAAAGAAGAACAAAGCUAGCGUUGGCACCUUUGAGCUCACUUAUUAUAUAUCAACUUCACAACCUCGGAUCCCGCUUCUUCUUCAGCCGCUCAGCUUCCUCCAGUUUCUGAUCGAGCUCCGGAUACGAACACGGAAGCAAACCUUCCACGAAACUGGAACAAAGCAACCUCGUUCCUAACCAGAGCCAGAUUCAUCAGGAGAAGGAUACGAUUGGCCGGAGGUUGCGUCGCAAUCAUCGGAGGAGGAACGGGUGAGAAGGUAGCUUGAUCGGAGUGACUCGUAAGGCGAUCACCCAAUCCCACAUGGCGGAGGAAUAAGUUGAAGGAUCCUCGUCAAGCAAUGCCGGCGGUUGAAUUUCCAUCCCCGGCGGCGGCGAUGGAGAAGCCAUCAAAUUGAAUUCAGAUGGAUUAUUGGUGAAGGAAGGACCCAUCGGUUGUUGUCAAGGAGGAAGUUGGUGAUUUUCUUUGGUUUAAGGUUUUAGCAUAUAAUAAUAAUUAAUUCAUCAUCCCAAAUCUGGGUAUAUGCAUUUACGCAGCAAACAAACCAAUAACACUUCAAUUUUUUGCUUGUUUUUGUAAUUUUAAGGCACGAAUCAAGUAAAUUAUCUAACAUGGUUUAAGAUUUUUGUAUGAGAUGAAUAUGAACUCGUUGAAUUAAAUUAUAGACACAAUCCUUAAUCGUGCUAUAAAUAGUUUAUUGAGCAUAUUGCAAGCUAUAUCUAUGUUGGAAAGAUUAUUUAGGUAAAUGGUCAUAGCUAAGAAACAAACUGUACAGUUUUUGUUUUAACUCAAAAUUGCUCCUAUACUGUAGCUCUUUGGCGUCUAACAAAAUUAUGCGACGUCUGGUUGUUUUUAUUUUUGUCUUUGUCAUAUAUUAUUUUACCAUCUUAUCUAAAAUAAUUUUCGUUCAAUCUUGAAUUCCCGAUAAACAACGUUUCUCGAUAGAUCUUAUUAUAUUAAACCAAGCCACAUAUGUGAAAAAAACAUAACUUGCACCCAGAAAUUUCAGAUUCUUGAAAAAUUAGGCUUUGCUCCAUCCAUGGGCUUUUUAGAUCAUUUAUGGGAUGAUUCUGUCAUGAUAUCAUCGCACGUCCUUCUCAUGUUAUUUUCCUGGUGGAUUAAUUGGUCGUUCGAACGGUGGAAGUGUCAGAUCGUGCGGUGGAGAUUCACUGGAAGAGUCUGAGAAAGUAAAACCACCAGAAUACCAAGGCGGUUCAGUUCGUUUUUCCAUACUCUAUUUCUAUAUAUCAAAAACAGAGUUUUAUGGUUUCAAAUCAUUCAAUAAAAUUGAUCUUUACAGAAGCAAUAUCUUCACUUUCUGUUUCUAUUAUGUUCAAAUACUUUCACUAUAUUAGUAAAAGCGCUAUAAAAUCAAAACGAUUUUGUUGUUUCUGUUAAUUUUUGUUUUUUUUUUCUAAUCAUAUUUAUUUUCCUCCAAUGACUUGUUCUAUCUAUUUUCCGGUGUUACUGUUGCCGGCCAACAGAUUCCCGGAAUCUCGUCUGAAACAACCGACGACUUUGUAAAAAAUUAAUUUCAUCGGGAUUUUGAUAUCGGAAAGUACCGACAAAGCUCCGACGAUUAUGUGAGGAUUGUGGUCCUCGGUUUAUAGGUCUUUUUCUUGUAGUGAUCCGACAGAUCUAGUCUCUGGAGAGACGAGAUAGCUCCGAGGGAAGGCACGACCCGACCCGAGAAGUUGUUUCCGGAGAGAGUGAGGUUGCGGAGGGAGGUGAGACCGGUUAGUGUGCUGAAUUUGAGUUCUCCUGAUAAACCGAGCCGGUCGAGAUUAAUGGCGAUGAUUGAACCGUUUUCGGGUCGCAGGAGAUACCGGGCCAGUUCUCGGGGCAAGUGGAGGGGUCGGUGAGGCUGCUCGUAGCGGAGCAUGAGAUAUGCGUUGGUUGGAGGCCUCGUCGCGGAUGCGUUUGCGGAACUCGAGUAG
rnacentral:lncRNA from 1 species